UCGUUCUUAAUGUACGUUUGUGGUAUGACGUGUGUUUAGUAAAAGAUAAAAAGACAAUAGAAAAAAAAGAUUAGACAAAUUGUAAAUAAUAUCACAGUCAAGAUGAUAACCGAUGUACAACUUACUGUUUUCUGUAACAUGCUUGGGAUUAUGCUAUUUUGUCUAGUGUUUCUAUUUCAUUACAUAAAUGCGAAUUAUUCAAAAUGAGUGGGCAUAUUUAUAUAUCAUUUCAAGAGACUACAUUAUAACAGUUUAUAGGUUAGUCGAUGAUUAUGCAGACCGCUCAUUGGAUUUCAUACGAUGCAACUCCGUAAAUAUAUUUAUCAUGCGAGUCGUGGCCAAGUUAAAGUGAUUAACUCUAUUCCAAGAAUUUUAUUAUCAAAGUACUUAGUCAAUAGUUAACUUUUUGUUUUUGAAAUUUGUUUCCGGAAUAAUUAAAUUUUACACCACUAAAUGAGAAUUUUUUUGACGUUUCUACAUUGAACGAUAUAACAGUUUAUAUUAGUGUA